AUUGAACGCUGGCGGCAGGCCUAACACAUGCAAGUCGAGCGGAUGAAGGGAGCUUGCUCCUGGAUUCAGCGGCGGACGGGUGAGUAAUGCCUAGGAAUCUGCCUGGUAGUGGGGGAUAACGUCCGGAAACGGGCGCUAAUACCGCAUACGUCCUGAGGGAGAAAGUGGGGGAUCUUCGGACCUCACGCUAUCAGAUGAGCCUAGGUCGGAUUAGCUAGUUGGUGGGGUAAAGGCCUACCAAGGCGACGAUCCGUAACUGGUCUGAGAGGAUGAUCAGUCACACUGGAACUGAGACACGGUCCAGACUCCUACGGGAGGCAGCAGUGGGGAAUAUUGGACAAUGGGCGAAAGCCUGAUCCAGCCAUGCCGCGUGUGUGAAGAAGGUCUUCGGAUUGUAAAGCACUUUAAGUUGGGAGGAAGGGCAGUAAGUUAAUACCUUGCUGUUUUGACGUUACCAACAGUAUAAGCACCGGCUAACUUCGUG
rnacentral:rRNA from 1 species